GACGAACGCUGGCGGCGUGCUUAACACAUGCAAGUCGAACGGAAAGGCCCUGCUUUCAGGCUGCUCGAGUGGCGAACGGGUGAGUAACACGUGUGUGAUCUGCCCCUUACUUUGGGAUAAGCCUGGGAAACUGGGUCUAAUACUGGAUAGGACCAUGCUGUAGGUGGUGUGGUGGAAAGAUUAGUUUCGGUAUGGGAUGAGCUCGGGGCCUAUCAGCUUGUUAGUGGGGUAUUGGCCUACCAAGGCGUCGACGGGUAGCCGGCCUGAGAGGGUGUACGGCAGCAUUGGGACUGAGAUACGGCGCAGACGCCUACGGGAGGCAGCAAUGGGGAAUAUUGGAAAAUGGGAGCAAGCCUGAAGCAGCGAAGCAGCGUGGGGGAUGAAGGCCUGAGGGUUGUAAAGUACUUACGGCCAUGUAGAAGCGCUUGUGGUGACGGUAGUGGUAGAAGAAGCACCGGCUAACUACGUG
rnacentral:rRNA from 1 species